UUCAACACAAUAUAGUGGGCCAAAGGUCCUGUUCCUGUACAAUAUUCCCCAAAGGAGAAAUUAGCAUUUAAUUAUCCCAAGAUUCAACACAUCCUGGGGCAGGAAAUUUUGCUGCGCCCUCCUACAACCAAUGGGCAGCAACUUAUUAAAACCAAACUGUCUUUACUGCUCUUGAUACUGCCUUUAUAUAUUUCCAUUGUUUGCAGUGUUUUUCAUGUGUAUUAGGUUCAUGUGAUUAAAACCAUCACACACUUUCUGGGUCAGACACAGAGUGAAGAUCCUCUGUUCCUGUCCCACUGAAGAUGACGUGAAAAGGAGAAAUUUGAGACGGGAAGAGAACGCUUGCACUGUCUCUGCAUUCAACACCUUGAGGCAACUUCUGUGUUAUUGGACAUGCUGUUUGUCGACUUGGGACAAGGCCAGUUCUCCAAUUGAUGACGAAUGUCUGCUCCUGAGUAUACCAUGCACGGUUCUGGACCUCAUUUCCUUGGAUCAGACCGCAGCAGGUGAACUGUUCACCACAAAGGGUUCCCUGUCCUGUUGCAGGGGUUGCAGCCUUUCAAAACGGAAGGUGCAGUCGGGCGAGGAUUCAUGAUAGGAACCAAGACAAGCCUUCGUACCCUGCUGGAUGCCCCUGGAACAUUAGUUACAGGGACUGAG